GGCAACGGCGCCAAAUUGAUAGUA
rnacentral:siRNA from 1 species